rnacentral:tRNA from 1 species
GGCUCCAUAGUCAAGCGGUUAAGACGGCGGCCCUUCACGCCGCAGGCACGGGUCCGAUACCCGUUGGAGUCA